GAGGGUAUCGCUCAGUGGUGGAGCGUGUGCAUAGCAUGCAUGAGGUCCUGGGUUCAAUCCCCAGUACCUCCU
rfam:Camelus ferus unplaced genomic scaffold scaffold2263, whole genome shotgun sequence.